UACGUGAGGGGGCAAGCGUUGUCCGGAAUCAUUGGGCGUAAAGGAGCGCGUAGGCGGUCCGGGUAAGUCCGCUCUGAAAGUCCGGGGGCUCAAACCCCGGGGAGGCGGGGCGGAUACUGUCGGGCUAGAGUCCGGAAGAGGCGAGUGGAAUUCCGUGGUGUAGCGGUGAAAUGCGCAGAUAUCAGGAGGAACACCAAUGGCGAAAGGCAGCUCGCUGGGACGGUACUGACGCUGAGGCGCGAAAGCGUGGGGAGCAAACAGG
rnacentral:rRNA from 1 species